UACAGGAGGUGGCAAGCGUUGUUCGGAAUUACUGGGCGUAAAGGGCGCGUAGGCGGUUCUUUUAAGUCUCGUGUGAAAUCCCCUCGGCUCAACGUGAGGAACUGCACGGGAUACUGGAUGACUUGAGUUCGGGGAGAGGGAUGCGGAAUUCCAGGUGUAGCGGAUGAAAUGCGUAGAUAUCUGGAGGAACACCGGUGGCGAAGGCGGCGAUCCCAUCGGACCGAACACUGACGCUGAUGAGCGAAAGCCAGGGGAGGCAAAACGG
rnacentral:rRNA from 1 species